ensembl:lncRNA
ACGUUACAAUAUAUUUCUACUUGGAGAAAUUUAAGAGGUUUAUCCCUCAAAACUUUAAAUACAAUAAAGUUGCAAAAAAUAGUUUCCCACCACAGGAAAUUUAUUUUGAGUGUCUUCAUAGUUUUAUUUUGGAGAUACAGCAAUUUUUAUAUACUGCAGGAAAAACAAAAAACAAUCCUAUGAUGCAAAUUUGCAAAGAAAACAGCAUAUGCAUCAUUUCACUGUGGGAAGUGUUACGACCAGCUGAUAGGAACGGCGAAGCGUGUUUCUGGAAUAUUAUGUUUUUGUUCCUGCAAGCGCUUUUUAUGCAAUUUUUGCAAAGCUAUAUGUGGAAGGAAACCGUGACCGAGGACAAGCUGAUGGCAUCAGAUGACCUCAAAGUAUGUACCAGCAUGUACUCCACUACAAGAUAAGAGAUGUAGCUGGGAGCAAGAUCGCUGAAGGUAAUCAAUAAAAUCUUACAAUGCAUUCUAACACACACGGUGAAGUUGUCAAUUCUAUUCGGUUUUAGUUAAAAACCUGGCAGCUGAGUUAUGUACAGUUUGGAGUCAAUGGAUAGAUUUUUUUUUUUUGGGGGGGGGGGGGGGGUCAUAGGCAGAACAUGCAAACUUUACACAGAAAAGCCCCAACCCUCAGCCUGCAAGCAUGUGGUACUGAUAACUACACCAACCUGCUGCCCCAGUUAUUUGGUUUUUUAUUUUUUGUUUUUUCUAUCCCCUAAAGGGUUUAGAAAGGACAUAUUUAAAAUUUUAGAAAAAUUCCAGCCAGGUUUAAAAAGCCUGGUUUGCAUUUUCACUUGGCACCUGCUGUUUUAGGUGGCUGGUUUCUCAUCCAUCUGCCUCAGUCUGACACAAAUGUCCUUCCAGAAAUCCAUUCUCUAAAAUCAAUUUGUGCUUCAUUCUUUGAUAUUAGGUCACCUUCACUGGCCUCCUCUCUGUGGACCAGGGAGUCCUCUCCUGGCCUAUUUAAACAUAAGCACACACGCACACAAACACACUUACACAACCAAUCCAUGAUUCUCGACUUUGACCUUAAAACGAACCACUUCACCGCAUAAAAACAUGAGAAAUCCAUACAGACUUAUGUCACCAGAUGUUCUAUUUUAAUACACAUGUCACCAGCCCUUUUUUUUUUUUUACCUCCAGUCAUUGAUCAAAAAAGCUGACCCACAUUGCAACACACCUUCACACGCUGUUUCACCAGUGGCCCAUCUUACUGACUCAUUCAGGCCAUUCAUUGUGAAUCUACAGGGAAUGGACCUGAUGCCAUGCAGAAUCGCGCUGUAUCCCUCUGGCCUGUUUUUUCCAUGCCUGUGGUGUGACAUUUCCAACCUAUUCAUCAGUCAAAGGCUGUGUGUGUUCCAUAGCAUGUUGAAAGAGCCAAACACAUGCAGAGCUGACAGGAGUGUUACCCAGAGUGGUCUUCUGCUGUUAAAGCCCAUCUUAAAGAUCCUCCCCAGAAGCUCAUCAACAGAAAAAUGUUUCUCAGAGAUCAUCAGUGCAUCAAGAGCUUGUAUAAUUCAGCCAUAUAAGUUAUUCAGGCUGCAUGCAAACCUUCUGCAAAGCAAGCGGUGCAGUGUGGGUUUUCAAGCUGAAAGCUGAAGAGCUUACGGUGGCACACUGAGGAGA